CAACCGUAUUCAUUUGACACAGGCAAAUGUCACCGCUAAAAAAAUGGGCGUAUCUUACUAAAAUAGCGUAUAAGUUUCUACUCAAAUGGUUAUCAGCUUUGAAAUAAUCCUACAGUACAUGUCCUGCUAGCCUAUUCUUUUUUUUUUUGCGGGAACCUAUUCAACAACUACGAACCAAAAUCUCUCCAAAAUGGUAAAUUUGACAAAGAGAAGAUUAUCGUGCGUCGACGUCGAGUGCUUGGGCUUGGAAAGCCAGCCAUUCUCACGACCAUCCCUCUCGUGCGAGCCGUGACGGUGACCCGGGGUCCGGUCCAUCCGCACGCUCCGCCCCGCUGGCUC
rnacentral:lncRNA from 1 species